CCUACGGGAGGCAGCAGUGAGGAAUAUUGGUCAAUGGACGAGAGUCUGAACCAGCCAAGUAGCGUGAAGGAUGACUGCUCUAUGGGUUGUAAACUUCUUUUAUAUGGGAAUAAAAUGUGCCACGUGUGGGAUUUUGUAUGUACCAUAUGAAUAAGGAUCGGCUAACUCCGUGCCAGCAGCCGCGGUAAUACGGAGGAUCCGAGCGUUAUCCGGAUUUAUUGGGUUUAAAGGGAGCGUAGGUGGAUUGUUAAGUCAGUGGUGAAAGUGUGCGGCUCAACCGCAGAAUUGCAGCUGAAACUGGUAGGCUUGAGGACAGUAGAGGUGGGCGGAAUGCGUGGUGUAGCGGUGAAAUGCUUAGAUAUCACGAAGAACUCCGAUUGCGAAGGCAGUUCACCGGACUGCAACUGACACUGAGGCUCGAAAGUGUGGGUAUCAAACAGGAUUAGAUACCCUAGUAGUC
rnacentral:rRNA from 1 species